UUAGAAGGGAUGUCAAUAGAAAGACUGAAAAAAUAUUUCCUGAGGUUGAUUAUGGGAAGUGAGUUUUUCUCUACAAAAAGAAUCCCCAAUGUUAUACACACCCACACACUGUAGCAACCUUACUUUGAUCCGGAUGAGACUUUCUUCAUAUCUCCUCAGUGCUGCUUCUAGAUCAGUGGGUGGGAGAAGGGGAUUGUUGCAAGUUGCCUGGCAGCCAAAGGAAGCGAGAAACCAGAACCAGGAAUUAAAACAGGUUCUCUCACAAGAACCCAGAUUGUCAUGAGCUUGUCUGCCGUAUUGUGGCAGAACCGGCCAAUGGGAGCUGCGGGGGGGGAGGCGGUGCCUGUGGGCGAGAGCCGCUUGUGCGCCUCCGCCUAGGAGCUGGACCUGCUGCUGGCUGCUUCAGGCGCAGCACAGUCCAUGGUGCCAGUACGGGUGGGAAGCCUGCCUCUGCACCCCAGCUGCGCCACGGACCAGGAGCCGCUGGAGGUAAGUCCAUGCCCCAACCCCACACCCCAAUCCCCUGCCCCAGCCCAGAGCCCCCCCAAAAAACCUGGAACCCCUUCCUGCACCCCAAUCCCCUCGGCCCCGGCCCCAGCCCAAAGCCUGCACCCCCAGCCCAGAGCCCUGACUCCCUUCUGCACCGCAACCCUCUGGCCCAGCCCUGAGCCGCUCCCACACCCCAAACCCCUCAUCCCCAGCUCCGCUGGGUCAUGGGCAUCAACAAUUUUCUUCAACUGGGUCCCCAGAAAAGAAGUUUGAAAACCACGGAUCUAGAACACAUCAGUGGACAUCGGCAAUACCAGGAGAGAUGAGCUGGAAUGCCGAUGAGAAGCGAAAUCAGAAAGUAACUGAAAUACUUCUCUUAUGGAUUAUAUCUACUAAGGGACAACCCAUCUUGAAUGUUCAAUUACUGAGGGACAAUCUACACUCAUUCCUAUAUUUGCUUUCUACAACCCACUGUAUGUAUAACUUUUGAUGAGUGAUGUACCGAGUAUUCGGAUUCUAAUAUCUAAAUUGUAUCAUUAAAUUUAUCUAAUUUGGGUUAUUGCAGAUUAUGUAUUUAUUGGGGUGGGCAAACUACGGCCCAGGGGCCACAUCCAGCCCUCCAGAUGUUUUAAUCCGGCCCUCAAGCGCCUGCCGGGAAGUGGGGUCCAGGGCUUGACCCACUCCGUACACCUCCCAGAAGCAGCGGCAUGUCCCCCCUACAGCUCCUAUGCAUAGGGGCAGCCAGGGAACCACAGCCCAUGGGAGCUGCAGGGGCGGCGCCUGCGGACAGGGCAGCGCGCAGAGCUGCCUGGCCGCACCUCCAGCUAGGAGCGGGAGGGGAGAUAUGCCGCUGUUUCUGGGAGCUACUUGAGGUAAGCGCUGCCCAGAGCCUGCCCCCUGACUCCUUCCCACGUCCCAACCCCCUGCCCCAGCCCUGAUCCCCCUCCCGCCCUCCGAACCUGUCCCAGCCCGGAGCACCCUCCUGAACCUUCAACCCCUCAUCCCCAGCCCCGCCGCCCCAGAGCCUGCACCCCCAGCCGGAUCCCUCCCACCCUCCCGCACCCAACCCCAAUUUUGUGAGCAUUCAUGGCCCGCCAUACAACUUCCAUACCCAUAUGUGGCCCUCGGACCAAAAGGUUUGCCCACCCCUGUACUAUAUUGUAUCUUAUGAGUUUUUAAACAAACUUUGUAUACACGGAUAAUCUAAGCACUAUACCCAGAUAUACAGGCACUCUUUUCUCAACCUGUGUAUUAUAUAAUUUUAACAUUAGCUUUAAGUAUUGCGCAUCAGUGUAAUCGGCUACACACUAUAGCCUUUUAUAGUGUCAGACUUCUGUCAGUAAGAAUUCUGCGCUUUUUUUAUUGACACUGUAAACUCCUUGUGCCAGAACUAUCUUUUACAAGGCAUUAAUCUUUAACCCAUAACCUAAACUCAGAAUAAUAAACAUUUAUAUCUUAGAGUUAAAAUGUUUGCUAAAUUAGUGCAAACAAAACUAAAAGGAGGAGCAAGCAAAGAAACAAAGCUCAUUUUAAAAUAGGCUUUGCAGUGAGCCUGAGGCUUAGUAUUUAGCUUGAGGCGUAGUACCAGUAAUAGUUAGUGUUAGGAUAUAUAUAUUUAGGCCUGUCUGUAAAGGUCUAUACUUUUAGAAUUUAGGUAUAGGUUUAUCAUUUAGCUAGUUAUAGAGGUAUAAAAGAAAGAAUCAAAACCACUGUCUGCCUGUGUAAGGGCCUUCUCUCACUGUGACAGUCCUGAGGCCCUGUUCUUAGGCUAAGGCACUUUGGCUAAGCAGUGGGAGCAGCCAUAAGCUGGAAAGUUUAUGAUUAUGUCCUCACAAUUUCAAACCAGUCAUAUUGAAAUAAGGCAAUCUGGGGCUGUUAGAAAGGUGAUCCGAUCUAUCACCUCCAGAUAAAGGGAAGAGCCUAGAAGAUGUAAAAGGAAAUUUAGUUUGAUAGUUUUCUGUUUGGUAAGAACUCACUUAUUAAUAGACAUAGUUGGGAAACCCUUAUGUCUUUAAUAGGUGUAGUUGUGAAAUCCUCACUUCUAUAUUGUUUUGUCAUUAUAGUUCCCACUUUGCUAUUGUUUAUUUGCAUGGUCUGUCUGGUUCUCGGAUUGUUUCUGUCUGCUGUAUAAUUAAUUUUGCUGGGUGUAAACUAAUUAAGGUGGUGGGAUAUAAUUGGUUAGCUGAUCGUAUUACAAUAUGUUAGGAUUGGUUAGGUAAAUUUCAGUAAAAUGUUGGUUAAGGUAUAGCUGAGAAUAUUUCUGUAUAAAUUAGGAGCAAACAGGAAGUAAGUUGGGAUUCGAAAAUAAGGAAAAAGGAACUUGUUUUUAAGCUUGCUGGAAGUUCACCCCAAUAAACAGCUAAUUGUUUGCACCUUUGGACUUCGGGUAUUGUUGCUCUCUGUUCAUGCAAGACGGACCAGGGAAGUGGGAGGGUGAAGGAAUAAGCCCUCUAAUAGUUAGCAUAAGGCCACAUUAAGUCUAAUAUAAAUUAGCAUAAGUAAGUAACCUUGGGUCAGAAGAUUUACCAACAUGUAUCUUGUGACAGACUGUUAGACCACAAAGUAAUAGUUCAGGUUUUAACUAGCCAGAUUUUGGUACUUUCCUAACAGCAUUGCAUAAAGAACCAUGGCAAUACCUAUUAGCACAAAUUCUUGCGACAACAGUUGAACUGGAUACCAGUAAUGACAAACAUGGACAAGAGGCCAAUACUUAAUCAAAUAUGGUCUCAGAAAUGGGUGGUGUGAGUAAUAGGUGCAUAAAAAGCAAUCAAACAUGACCCUCAGCAGGUCCUUAGGAUGACAGGAUGGUG
rnacentral:lncRNA from 1 species